rnacentral:sRNA from 1 species
CCACAGGCCACACAGCAUAGCUCCCAGGUGGCAAACUCCAUGCACCCAAUUUUUAUUUUAUUAUUCAUGUCUAUUACUAGCUCUGAUUCUCCCUCCAGUAUUAUUAAAAAUGAUGUGAGGAAUAUGUUUUUUGUUCUCCUUUGGAGAAAAGAUAAUUUUGUGUGAACUGCAUCAACUUGUCACCAAACUAUCAAACUUCAGCCAAUCGUGCCCUCCAUCCUCUCCAUCAUCGAAAGCAUGUCUCGUAAAUGUCCCUCCCCGAUGACUGCAUUUUGAGGUCCCCACCCACCAUCACCUCCUCCACCAGCCGUAACACAUGAAUAACAUACUCUGAUCUUCAGAUAUCAUGAUGACACACAUUUUCAAUUUGGCUGUUUGAUAUCAUCCUUGGUGACUGUAACAAGCUCUUGUUUUAGCACCUUGCAUGCACAUGUGCUUCAUACUGCGGAACGACCCAUGAUAAUCCAGUUUAAAAGAUGGCGCGGAUGCCCAGCAACUUCUCCCCCAUCCGAUUCACCAGAAUGGUCAUUGCGGAGUCC